GAUGAAGAACGUAGCGAAAUGCGAUACUUGGUGUGAAUUGCGGAAUCCCGUGAACCAUCGAGUCUUUGAACGCAAGUUGCGCCCGAAGCCAUUAGGCCGAGGGCACGCCUGCCUGGGCGUCACACGUCGUUGCCCCCCCAUCUACUCCUUCGGGAUUGCGGGGGGCGGAUGAUGGCCUCCCGUGCGCCUCGUCGCGCGGUUGGCCUAAAUGCCAAGUCCUCGGCGACGCACGCCACGACAAUCGGUGGUUGCGAAACCUCGGUUGCCCGUCGUGUGCGGUCGUCGCGCAUCGAGGGCUCGAAAAAAUUGCCGGGCUUCGGCUCGACUUUCAACGCGACCCCAGGUCAGGCGGGGUUACCCGCUGAAUUUAAGCAUAUCAAUAAGCGGAGGA
rnacentral:misc_RNA from 1 species